GACGAACGCUGGCGGCGUGCCUAAUACAUGCAAGUCGAGCGAAGUUUUUCUGGUGCUUGCACUAGAAAAACUUAGCGGCGAACGGGUGAGUAACACGUAAAGAACCUGCCUCAUAGACUGGGACAACUAUUGGAAACGAUAGCUAAUACCGGAUAACAGUAUUUCUCGCAUGAGAGAUAUUUAAAAGUUGGUUAUGCUAACACUAUGAGAUGGCUUUGCGGUGCAUUAGCUAGUUGGCGGGGUAAAGGCCCACCGAGGCGACGAUGCAUAGCCGACCUGAGAGGGUGAUCGGCCACACUGGGACUGAGACACGGCCCAGACUCCUACGGGAGGCAGCAGUAGGGAAUCUUCCGCAAUGGGCGAAAGCCUGACGGAGCAACGCCGCGUGAGUGAAGAAGGAUUUCGGUUCGUAAAGCUCUGUUGUUAGGGAAGAAUGGAUAUGUAGUAACUAUACAUGUAAGAGACGGUACCUAACCAGAAAGCCACGGCUAACUACGUG
rnacentral:rRNA from 1 species